ACUAAUGCUGUAACCACGCCAUGGCUGCUGACACGUGAAGAACCUCGUUGACAACCGAUUUGGAAAAUGAAGCAACAGACUUGGCGCGUUCGCCUUUCGAUAUAAUCGAUUUUCAUCACUUUGAAGUCUUCUUGACUGUGCUUCUACGAUAAGACCAGAAAGAAAGCAUGUUCGAUCGUAUAUUACUUAUAAGGAAGAAAGAAAGAGAGAGAGAGAGAGAGAGAGAGAAGAGGUCUUGUUAAAGUAUGGAAAGAUAUGGUCGCUCCAAUGCCUUUUGAAAUUGAAUUACACGCAUGAUGAUCCGCGUGAAAGAGGUGGUUACCUGUGCAUGCAGAAUGGGGACAUGUUAAGGCACUAUUUGUAUUACAUGUAAGCUGGAGAACGUUUGGUUUCGUGCCAAGAGAAAAGAUAAGAUUCUCCAAACAAUAGAAAAUUCCAUUCUGAUACACUA
rnacentral:lncRNA from 1 species